CUGGCUCAGGGUGCGGCGGCCCUUAGGGGAGUGUCCUCUGGAGAAGGAUGUCCCACCCCCGCAGCCCGAGCCCUCUCCAUAGAGUUAGGACUGCUCGGCUCUUCCCAGCAGUCCCAGAGAGGGCCGCGACCGGCAGAGACCUGAGAAGAUCCCACCCAGGAGGCAAUGGGAGGCAGCCGUUCGGAUUGGAGGCUCUGCCAGGAGAGACUGCUAUGUGCCCCAAAGCAAGGGCCUUCUAGAACUCCAUCAGCAACCCGUG